AAUAGCCUAACGGCUGAACCAGCAACUUGGAAGAAUGUAUAGCAAGAGCUAAUUGUAUUAACUAAAUAAAUAGUUUUACAGUCUCGUUUAUUCGAAUAAAAUUCUAGGUAGAUUUAUGAUAAUGACAUUAUCUAUCUAUGUGUCUUGACCAAAUUACGUGCCAGCAGUCGCGGUAAUACGUAAGAGACUAGUGUUAUUCAUCUUUAAUUGGUUUAAAGCGUACCUAGACGGUAAUUAUAGCCUAAACCAGGUACUUUUUUACUAGAGUUAUAUGUAAGGGUGUAUUAAAGUACUGUUGAGUUUAGAAAUAAAAUUCUUUGACACCAGAUAAUUGGCACAGGUAUAGGCGAAAGCAUCACUUUAUGUAAUAACUGACGUUGAGGGACGAAGGCUAUGUGUCGCGAACAGGAUUAGAUACCCUAGUAGUCUUAGCAGAAAAUUAUGAAUGUCAUAGGUUAGAUUUUAUUUGGUCUAUAAAUGAAAGUGUAAGCAUUCCACCUCAAGAGUAAUUUGGCAACAUUGGAACUGAAAUCAUUAGACCGUUUCUGAAACCAGUAGUGAAGUAUGUUGUUUAAUUUGAUGAUCCGCAAAAAACCUUACCACAAUUUGAAUAUAUUUUUACAAGCGUUGCACGGCUGUCUUCAGUUGAUGUCGUGAGAUUAUGAUUGAGUUCAUUUAAUUAACGUAAACCCUUACCCUUUUUUUAUAAAGAGUUUUCCACCUUGGUUGGUUGUGAUAAAAGGGACUAAGACAAGUCAUCAUGGCCUUAAUAUUGU
rnacentral:rRNA from 1 species